UAGGGAAUUUUCCACAAUGGACGAAAGUCUGAUGGAGCAACGCCGCGUGAACGAUGAAGGUCUUCGGAUUGUAAAGUUCUGUUGUUAGGGACGAAUAAGUACCGUUCGAAUAGGGCGGUACCUUGACGGUACCUGACGAGAAAGCCACGGCUAACUACGUGCCAGCAGCCGCGGUAAUACGUAGGUGGCAAGCGUUGUCCGGAUUUAUUGGGCGUAAAGCGCGCGCAGGCGGCUAUGUAAGUCUGGUGUUAAAGCCCGGAGCUCAACUCCGGUUCGCAUCGGAAACUGUGUAGCUUGAGUGCAGAAGAGGAAAGCGGUAUUCCACGUGUAGCGGUGAAAUGCGUAGAGAUGUGGAGGAACACCAGUGGCGAAGGCGGCUUUCUGGUCUGUAACUGACGCUGAGGCGCGAAAGCGUGGGGAGCAAACAGGAUUAGAUACCCCCGUAGUCC
rnacentral:rRNA from 1 species